CCAAAAGCUGCUGCCAGCCAAUCGCUUCCAAAAUGUUAGCAACAUAUUUGUUGCCAGUUAGAGCGAUGUUACUUUCCUCUAUUUAAUACGUUUUUGUUGAAAACAGCUUUCGUGCGCGGUCUUGCAGGUGCAGCGGGAGUCCUUGCCAAAGAGGGGGCUGAUUGCAGAGGCUGUGGAAACAGCUACACUGUGUUGCUAAAACAUCUUCAAGGUCUUUAGCAAAGGAUAAAUUCUGAUGAUGAAGUCUGCAUUGCAUUGAGAUCAUCCAGCCUGUUAACAUGACAAGAAACUGACAGUUCAUGGGGGGCUGUGCUCGUUGUUCCUUUUUCCUAUGCUUAUACCUCUUUGAGAAAUAGCUGUAAAGAGGCAUAGGGCAUGGGAAAAUGGGGCGGCAGAAAUAAUCCACAAAUCAGGACUCGGAAAGCAACAAGAUCCAACUUUUAUGCUAUUGGUGUAUCAAAAAUGUAGUGCAAUUGCUUUGUGUGUGCAUUAAAAUAAAUAAUCAAAAUAUUA